CAAAUCUGACCAAACCUUGGGUUGCUCCCUCGAACCUUGGCCCUCUUAGGAACACAUGAGCAAGUGGGUUUCAUUCUGGGUCUCUGCUCCCAAGGGCCGAGAUGAAUGGCAUUUCUGAGAGGCACUUUUACUUCUCAAAGUGCAGAAAUCUAUCCAAGAGCUGGUGUCUACUCAAACACCAGACUGUUUGGGGCAGCAUGCCCAGAAAUGUUGGCAUUUGAGUUGAAAAUGUGCUUAUACAUCCCACUCCACUUCCUGCAUUUGUCUGUGUAGUUAUGGUAUGGAUCUGCAUUUUCAGGCAGAAACAAAAAUACCAUUCCAUCUUCUCCCUUUUACUCAAAGGGUGUUUUGCAGUGUAAGAAAUAAGGAGUCCUUCUGCAUAAGGAACAGCUACCAUUUAUGAUUCCUGUGGAGGAGGAAAAUGGAGUAUCUCCGUUAAAGAAUCAAAAAAGACCCAACAGCACUGAUACCACUGGCAGCCUACACAGACAUCAAAGUGUUACAGAGAGAAACUCAGCUGCCCGAAGGUGAAUGAGAACAAACCAAAGUUUCUGACAGUAGUGCAAACUUGCCUCUGGAGGAAGGGAACCUAUCCCACUACUUAAAGGAGAUGUGUUCUAUCCCUCUAAUUAUCUUGGUGGCCUCCUCUGGACUCGCUCCAACAGAUCCAUGUCCUUCCUGCACUGAGGACCCCAGAGCUGGAUGCUGUACAUGUAUGUGUGUGAGCUGCAGGUUUUCCAGAAUGAAGACAAGCUAGUUCGGGUACCAGUAGCAUUCCUGUGGUAAGCACAAUCUUCCCUGUCAGUUAUAAACCAAUUUAUUCAUGACAGGGACUUCUUCA